AAUAUUGGACAAUGGGGGGAACCCUGAUCCAGCCAUGCCGCGCGUGUGAAGAAGGUCUUCGGAUUGUAAAGCACUUUAAGUGGGGAGGAAGGACAGUAGGUUCAUACCUAGCUGUCUUGACGUUACUGACAGAAUAAGCACCGGCUAACUUCUUUCCAUCAGCCGCGGUAAUACGAAGGGUGCAAGCGUUAAUCGGAAUUACUGGGCGUAAAGCGCGCGUAGGCGGUUUGAUAAGUUGGAUGUGAAAGCCCCGGGCUCAACCUGGGAAUUGCAUCCAAAACUGUCUGACUAGAGUAUGGCAGAGGGUGGUGGAAUUUCCUGUGUAGCGGUGAAAUGCGUAGAUAUAGGAAGGAACACCAGUGGCGAAGGCGACCACCUGGGCUAAUACUGACACUGAGGUGCGAAAGCGUGGGGAGCAAACAGG
rnacentral:rRNA from 1 species